UGGGACACCACUUAUAAUUGCUUCCGAAGCUAAUUCAUAUUUCCCGCUCCACCUUCAUCGUCUCUCUCACUAACCCCUCUCAUCCCAGUGAUUUUCACAUCCCUCUCAUCCUUGCGAUUCUCUCAUCCCUCUCUUCUCCAUUGUCCCUCUACAUUGUCGUGUGGAGUACUGCUCGUUGAACCAGGUGGUCGAGCAAGCUUUUGCUCAGUAGACCAGCAACCAGAAGGAAACCGUG
rnacentral:misc_RNA from 1 species